rnacentral:rRNA from 1 species
GACGAACGCUGGCGGCGUGCUUAACACAUGCAAGUCGAACGGACAGACAGAGAGCUUGCUCUCUUGAAGUUAGUGGCGAACGGGUGAGUAACGCGUACUCAACCUGCCCUUCAGAGGGGGAUAACAACGGGAAACCGUUGCUAAUACCGCGUACGAUUCAUGAACGGCAUCGUUUAUGAAUGAAAGGUGGCCUCUAUGUAUAAGCUAUCGCUGAAGGAGGGGAUUGCGUCUGAUUAGCUAGUUGGAGGGGUAACGGCCCACCAAGGAAAUGAUCAGUAGCCGGUCUGAGAGGAUGAACGGCCACAUUGGGACUGAGACACGGCCCAAACUCCUACGGGAGGCAGCAGUGGGGAAUCUUCCGCAAUGGACGAAAGUCUGACGGAGCAACGCCGCGUGAGUGAUGAAGGUCUUCGGAUUGUAAAGCUCUGUUAAUCGGGACGAAAGAGUUCCGCGUGAAUAAUGCAGAAAAGUGACGGUACCGGAAUAGAAAGCCACGGCUAACUACGUGCCAGCCGCCGCCGUAA